CUCCCUACGGGGGGCAGCAGUGAGGAAUAUUGGUCAAUGGGCGGGAGCCUGAACCAGCCAAGUCGCGUGAGGGAAGACGGUCCUACGGAUUGUAAACCUCUUUUGCCGGGGAGCAACGGGGUCCUUGCGAGGGCCCGAUGAGAGUACCCGGAGAAAAAGCAUCGGCUAACUCCGUGCCAGCAGCCGCGGUAAUACGUAGGGAGCAAGCGUUAUCCGGAUUUACUGGGUGUAAAGGGCGUGUAGGCGGGCCUGCAAGUCAGAAGUGAAAUCUGGGGGCUUAACCCCCAAACUGCUUUUGAAACUGG
rnacentral:rRNA from 1 species